rnacentral:rRNA from 1 species
UACGGAGGGGUUAGCGUUGUUCGGAAUUACUGGGCGUAAAGCGCGCGUAGGCGGACAUUUUAAGUCAGGGGUGAAAUCCCGGGGCUCAACCCCGGAACUGCCCCUUGAUACUGGGUGUCUUGAGUUCGAGAGAGGUGAGUGGAAUUCCGAGUGUAGAGGUGAAAUUCGUAGAUAUUCGGAGGAACACCAGUGGCGAAAGGCGGCUCACUGGCUCGAUACUGACGCUGAGGUGCGAAAAGUGUGGGGAGCAAAACAGG